rnacentral:rRNA from 1 species
CCUACGGGGGGCAGCAGUGAGGAAUAUUGGUCAAUGGACGCAAGUCUGAACCAGCCAUGCCGCGUGCAGGAAGACGGCUCUAUGAGUUGUAAACUGCUUUUGUACGAGGGUAAACGCAGAUACGCGUAUCUGUCUGAAAGUAUCGUACGAAUAAGGAUCGGCUAACUCCGUGCCAGCAGCCGCGGUAAUACGGAGGAUUCAAGCGUUAUCCGGAUUUAUUGGGUUUAAAGGGUGCGUAGGCGGUCGGAUAAGUUAGAGGUGAAAUCCCGAGGCUCAACUUCGGAAUUGCCUUUGAUACUGUUCGGCGAGAGAGUAGUUGCGGUAGGCGGAAUGUAUGGUGUAGCGGUGAAAUGCUUAGAGAUCAUACAGAACACCGAUUGCGAAGGCAGCUUACCAAGCUACUUCUGACGUUGAGGCACGAAAGCGUGGGGAGCAAACAGGAUUAGAUACCCGUGUAGUC